rnacentral:lncRNA from 1 species
UUCAUAGGUUUUGGGAUUAUUUGUUACAGCAGCGUAACCCAUCUUAUCUGACUAAUACUGUUUCAUUUGUUUCUCUUUUAUAGAAGCAAGCUGCUCCCUCCAUACCUUUUCUUUGUGGUUGGGUAAACAGUGAAUGGCUGGCUACCUCUUCCUCUCCAUUUCAGAGGACGGUGAGCACACUGAGAAGAAACAGACAUCGUGGUCAAGAGCAGAACCUCUAGAGUCAGAAGAACUUCAUGAAUAAGGAAUAAAUUACCUGAGACAACACUACUGCUGCAUGGAGGUCUCAACUCAAGCCGUUCUGUGCUGCGGCAUUUGUUUUAACCAAAUCCCAUUUAAAUGACCAGGGUUGCAUAUAUACAAAAUUGGAUAGGUGGCUAAUGAUGCAUGAGCACAUUUUAUAGGAAUCCACUUGACCUGCAAGGGAUCAAUUCCAUGAUUUGAUUAAAGGCUUAACCUUUCAGAGUCCAGCUUUGACCCUGUGUUCACAGAUAAAUCUCCAAAGCUGAUAGAUUCUGACAUUUAAGACUUAGAUUUAAGGAAAAGCGAUAUCCCAUUCUCCAUUUUUCUAGUAGAAAUGAAAUAGACCCAGCUGCACCAUUAAUUAGCUGCAUCAUUUUGUAUAACUCUCAUAUGCUCUCUUGGCCUCAGUCUCCCCAUUGGUAAAAUAAUAGAAAGCAUGUUUUACAUGUUUGGGAAGCAUGUUUACAACUUGGCUUCUCAGCUUCUUGGGGUUUUAUAAAGG